rnacentral:rRNA from 1 species
AACGAACGCUGGCGGCGUGCCUAACACAUGCAAGUCGAACGGAACCUUCGGGCUUAGUGGCGCACGGGUGCGUACCGACUGGGAAUCUACACCUUACUUCGGAGUCCCAGUUAUAAGUGACUCCUAAUACAAGAUGGAGUCUUCGGGGAAAAGAUGUAUCGGCAAGGGGUGGGCCCGGGUAAGAUUCGGCGGUUGGUGGGGUAAAGGCCUACCAAGCCGCCGAUCCUUGGCUGGUCUGAGAGGAGGCUCCGCAACGAUGGGAAUGAGACCCGGACCAGAGGCCUACGGGAGGCAGCAGUGGGGAACAUUGGACAAUGAACGCAAGUCUGAUCCAGCAAUGCCGCGUGAGUGAUGAAGGCCGUAGGGUUGUAAAGCUCUUUUACCAGGGAUGAUAAUGACAGUACCUGGAGAAUAAGCUCCGGCUAACUCCGUG